GGCCCCUGAUGGCACGACGUCUACCUUUUAAGCCGAAGUUGAUGCGUUUUGCAGGGGCGAAAGAUCUCCUUGUUCAUGUUUUCCUUUGGAAGGGAAAACUAAAAGCGAAAUAUACAGCAGUUCGUUGAGCCAUUAAAUUCCGUUGGUGAUCAAAUGCUUUGCUAGUUUUAUCCGCAGUGCAGCACAAACGUUCUGUAUCAACUCUUUCGAUUGCCUUAGAGUGUAGGAGUAGAAAACAGAGAAAAAUGUCGUAAAAAUAUAAUUCGUAAAAACUACUAGAUUUACCACUACAUACUAUUCGGCACAGUGAUGAAACGAAACUCUUAGCACACACGUUCGAAGAAAAAAAAACACGAACGAAUAUUGAAAUCUUUAAGACUCCAGAGUUGUCGGCACGCGUACGUCUCAUCAGGUAUAAGACAAAAGUGUGUAGUAAAUGCAUCUCAAUCAUAACCAAGUAGCCAACAGCGAUGAACUUACAUAAGAAUCGCAACAACAACAACAACAACAAAAUAUCACGUUAACACAUAACUAUCCCCACCAUUAAGCAAAAAAAAAAUGUAAAAGUAUUUGCAAGCAACAAGACACCAUUGAAAUAAAAUGUCAUAAGGAACACUCUAACGGUAUUCAGAACUGGUAUCAUCGUCGAUGUUCAAUCAUUCGUAGAUGUUAACAUUUUUGUAGGGAAAAGGAAACAGAAUUUACUCGAACAUAACCUGUGUUCCCCAAAACUAGCUUUUUAGUUUGACCCAGUGGAUAUUACCCGUUGGUAAAACAAAACAAUUUCAACGAUUUUGAAUGUUCAACUUACUUUCGACCGUGGAUGAACCACAUUUUUGCUCUUUGAUCUCUUUAAUAUCUUUGUAGAAAAUUCUCAAUAAUAUUCCUAACCGAAAGGGGUAAUAUCCACGCACAAUUGAGUGGCCAUUAAUAUGAUAAAGUUCAUAUAGAGAUCCAUCUUUUGUGCGCACCGUUUUUCGAGAAUCACUUAUUUUCUAGAAGAAGAAAAAAAAACAGAACAUAUAUAGCGGCAGUGUCAUCUCAUUUUUAGAUGUCUACUUGGAGAGCGAAAUUAAAAGUGCAAGCAAAAGCUUGCAUUUCAAACUAAAACGAAGAAACAAUUACAACUACAGUUCCACUUAUGUUCUCAACUAACUAAAAACUUACACAAAACAGCUGAAGUCAUAAAACAAAGGAUUCAAAUGCAAACAUCCAAAUCGCAGAAAAUGAUUAAUUGACAAAAGUUUUAUUCUCCUUCUCACAAAAUAAAAAAAAAGUAGUUGAAAGGUAAACUAACUGGAAUAAGACAGAAAAGGUAAUACUUUUAAUGGCGAUGGAUUCGUAUUCAAACGUGAAUUAACUAAUUACGAGUUGUACUUAACAAAAAAAAAACUAAUUCAAAAACCAAUUUCAAAACUAAAAAUGCAAGCUGUAUAAUUUUGUAUCCAUCGGAAGCAUAUCUCUGCGUAGGGCAUUGAAGGAAAAGUUAGAGCAAUCUAACAGCAAUGAAAUGAGAUAUAAACAACUUAAAUCAAAAUCCUGUACGAUGGAAGAAGCAGCAGUAGAUGUAGUGUAUAAUUUUUAAUUCUAGAAAUAAAUUUCAGUUUCUAUGAUAGAGGUCCAAUACAGGAACGAAUUCCAUGGAUGAAGAAGACCAUAAAUAAAACAAAGGUUCUCUUAUGGAACUUGUGGAAUGAAUUAAAAAAAAAACGGAAAAUGGAUAAUAUGAAAGAGUUUUGUAAAAACUUGUAUGUUUGUUAUAGCUUAUGUAAAGGUAUAGUGAAACAAAUAAAAUUUAAUUGAUAACAGGAGAAACAGCAGUAAACAUGGAUACAAAAACACACAGUAAUUGCAAUAAAUGUUAUAACGAACUGUAAAGGAAAUAAAAAUGAAAUCAUA